rnacentral:rRNA from 1 species
AGGGGAUAACAUUUGGAAACAAGUGCUAAUACCGUAUAAUACCAACAACCGCAUGGUUGUUGGUUUCUAGAUGGUUCUGCUAUCACUAAGAGAUGGACCCGCGGUGCAUUAGCUAGUUGGUAAGGUAACGGCUUACCAAGGCAAUGAUGCAUAGCCGAGUUGAGAGACUGAUCGGCCACAAUGGGACUGAGACACGGCCCAUACUCCUACGGGAGGCAGCAGUAGGGAAUCUUCCACAAUGGGCGCAAGCCUGAUGGAGCAACGCCGCGUGUGUGAUGAAGGGUUUCGGCUCGUAAAACACUGUUAUAAGAGAAGAACGGCACUGAGAGUAACUGUUCAGUGUGUGACGGUAUCUUACCAGAAAGGAACGGCUAAAUACGUGCCAGCAGCCGCGGUAAUACGUAUGUUCCAAGCGUUAUCCGGAUUUAUUGGGCGUAAAGCGAGCGCAGACGGUUAUUUAAGUCUGAAGUGAAAGCCCUCAGCUCAACUGAGGAAUGGCUUUGGAAACUGGAUGACUUGAGUGCAGUAGAGGAAAGUGGAACUCCAUGUGUAGCGGUGAAAUGCGUAGAUAUAUGGAAGAACACCAGUGGCGAAGGCGGCUUUCUGGACUGUAACUGACGUUGAGGCUCGAAAGUGUGGGUAGCAAACAGGAUUAGAUACCCUGGUAGUCCACACCGUAAACG